rnacentral:misc_RNA from 1 species
ACACAUAACAGUUAGGAAAGCUGUAAGUUUUCGCAGUUGGCCAAAAACGUCCAGUUCCAGCGCUGAGCCAGAAAAUUCCUGCGAAAGGCUGUCGUGGCAAGUGUUACCCGCACACAUACACAUCAUCCAGAUCCAGCCAAUCCCCCCGUGGAGUGGAGUGAAUUUUCAUUGACGACUGGGGGCGAAAAAGCUCUGGCGGAAGAACGAAAGUGAGAGAGAGGCGGCACUGAGAGCGCAACCCUCUAGAACAAAAACAACGAAACAGAGUUCAGCUGCACCACCACCCACCACCUACACCAACACCACCACCACCACCACCAACGCCACCACCGCCCACUGACCAUCCCACAUCCCGACCUGCGGCAGUGGAAGAAAGUGAAAGAGGCCAAGUGCAUACCUUCAUCCUAAUCAUCGCCAGACGAAUUCGUUGAGGCCACCAGAGCACCACCAGCCAAACACAGAAGCAACCACACAGCCACCAGAGCCAUAGCCCAGAAGACGAGGUAAAGGUCAAAGUUUUUGGGGUUCUGCGAUGGGCAAGAAAGACAAGAACAAGGAACCGGCGGACGCUGCACCAGCUGGCGAUGCACCACCAAACGCCGGAGCCCCGACCGGAGAGGGCGGCGAUGGCGAGAUUGUGGGCGGACCACACAAUCCGCAGCAGAUUGCGGCACAGAAGCGUCUGCAGCAGACGCAGGCGCAGGUCGAUGAGGUCGUGGACAUCAUGCGCACGAACGUGGAGAAGGUGCUGGAGCGCGACAGCAAGCUGUCGGAGCUGGACGACCGUGCCGAUGCACUGCAGCAGGGCGCCUCGCAGUUCGAGCAGCAGGCGGGCAAGCUCAAGAGGAAAUUCUGGCUCCAGAACUUGAAGAUGAUGAUCAUCAUGGGCGUGAUUGGUCUGGUUGUCGUGGGCAUUAUUGCAAAGAAAGACGAAGAAUAAAUACACUGAAAGCUUUAGCUUUGUACAAUUUUGUUAACCAUAAGCAAACCAAUUUACCCAAUAUAACACUUUCUGUGUGAGAUAAACUUGGCCUCAUAGGCGGGGAGCAGCCACCACAGUACCAGUACCCCCCACAGUACAUGCAGCCACCGCCGCCGCCUCCGCAGCA